GGAGAGGUCGCAUAGCCCGGUUGAGUGCGGUGGAUUGCUAAUCCAUUGAGGUGGGAUUUCCUGCCUCCGGGGGUUCAAAUCCUCCUCUCUCCG
rnacentral:tRNA from 1 species